CAACUGUCUCUACAGUUCAGUGUCAUUGCUUUUGGCAGUUUUUUUUCCUAGCAAAACUAAAAGGACAAUUUCUGGUCCAACAUGCCCAGUGCCU